UACGUAGGGUGCGAGCGUUAAUCGGAAUUACUGGGCGUAAAGCGUGCGUAGGCGGUUCUCCAAGUCCGUUGUGAAAGCCCCGGGCUCAACCUGGGAAUGGCAGUGGAAACUAGGGGACUGGAAUCUGGCAGAGGGGGGUGGAAUGCCGCGUGUAGCAGUGAAAUGCGUAGAGAUGCGGCGGAACACCGAUGGCGAAGGCAGCCCCCUGGGAUGACACUGACGCUCAUGCACGAAAGCGUGGGGAGCAAACAGG
rnacentral:rRNA from 1 species